GACGAACGCUGGCGGCGUGCCUAAUACAUGCAAGUUGAGCGCUGAAGGUUGGUACUUGUACCAACUGGAUGAGCAGCGAACGGGUGAGUAACGCGUGGGGAAUCUGCCUUUGAGCGGGGGACAACAUUUGGAAACGAAUGCUAAUACCGCAUAAAAACUUUAAACACAAGUUUUAAGUUUGAAAGAUGCAAUUGCAUCACUCAAAGAUGAUCCCGCGUUGUAUUAGCUAGUUGGUGAGGUAAAGGCUCACCAAGGCGAUGAUACAUAGCCGACCUGAGAGGGUGAUCGGCCACAUUGGGACUGAGACACGGCCCAAACUCCUACGGGAAGCAGCAGUAGGGAAGCUUCGGCAAUGGACGAAAGUCUGACCGAGCAACGCCGCGUGAGUGAAGAAGGUUUUCGGAUCGUAAAACUCUGUUGGUAGAGAAGAACGUUGGUGAGAGUGGAAAGCUCAUCAAGUGACGGUAACUACCCAGAAAGGGACGGCUAACUACGUG
rnacentral:rRNA from 1 species